AAAUUGAAGAGUUUGAUCAUGGCUCAGAUUGAACGCUGGCGGCAGGCCUAACACAUGCAAGUCGAACGGUAACAGGAAGCAGCUUGCUGCUUCGCUGACGAGUGGCGGACGGGUGAGUAAUGUCUGGG
rnacentral:rRNA from 7 species